rnacentral:misc_RNA from 1 species
AGCUGUACCCUAAAGAUUGCGCGGGUAUUAGGAAACAAUCAAGAUCUGUGAGUGUUUUCCAUAAAAUUAAAGUAUGGGAAUACACGGAUUAUCGAAAUUGAUUGCUGAUCAUGCUCCUGGUGCAGUGAAGGAAAAUGAAAUCAAGAACUUUUUUGGCAGAAAAGUGGCCAUUGAUGCCUCUAUGUCAAUUUAUCAAUUUUUAAUUGCUGUAAGACAAGAAGGCAAUGUUCUCACAAAUGCAGAUGGUGAAACUACAAGCCACCUUAUGGGAAUGUUUUAUCGAACUAUUCGUAUGGUUGAAAAUGGUAUAAAACCUGUUUACGUUUUCGAUGGAAAACCGCCAGAUAUGAAAUCAGGCGAACUAUCAAAGAGGAGCGAAAGACGGGAGGAAGCUAAAAAGGCAUUAGAUAAAGCAGUUGAAACAGGAGAUCAAGAGAAUGUUGAAAAGUUUGGAAAAAGAUUAGUUAAAGUAACGUCACAGCAUAAUGAUGAAUGCAAAAAAUUAUUAACUUUGAUGGGAAUCCCUUAUGUCAAUGCUCCUUGCGAAGCUGAAGCUCAAUGUGCAGCCUUAGUAAAAUCUGGAAAGGUAUACGCUACGGGAACAGAAGAUAUGGAUGCACUUACUUUCGGAUCAAAUGUUGUAUUACGUCAUUUGACAUUUAGCGAAGCAAGAAAAGUACCUAUAAAAGAAUACAAUUUGGAUGUUCUACUUGAUGGAUUGGGGCUUUCCCAAGACGAAUUUAUCGAUCUUUGCAUUUUACUUGGAUGCGAUUAUUGCGAUUCAAUAAGAGGAGUUGGACCCAAAAGAGCUAUAGAACUGAUAAAGCAGCACAGGAAUAUUGAAACUAUUUUAAAACACCUUGACUCAAAGAAAUAUACAAUACCGGAAGAUUGGAUGUUUAAAGAGGCUCGAAAACUAUUUCAAACUCCGGAAGUUACACAUGGCGAUGAUUUAGAGGUAAGCAAAAAAAACGAAAAACUGGGAAUAAUAUUUCAAAUAAGAGUUUUAAAAGAAUCUUGUGCUAACGCCAUCUAAAGUAUGAUUUUAUCUCUAUCCUCUUACUUUUUGCACUCAGCUAGCCGAUAGCGUUAUUCGUUAAGAGUUGAUUCAAUCAAGGUUAUUUAAUAAAGUAAACUAAAAUUCACAAUAAUUCGCAUUUAUCGACAUAGAUAAAUCUUCUCUUAUAGAAGACUAAGUUUAUAAUAAUUUUAUAGGCUACGAAAAUAUGAAUAUAAAGAUUUUCGUAUUAAAGGAAGACAACUCUUGUUCUUAUUUUUGGGUACGACUUAUAAAUUGUAGCUUGAAGGCUUUGAUGUUGAUAUUUUAAUACUUUUAUAAAGCACUCUUAUAAUUACAGUUGAAAUGGACCGACCCUGAUGAAGAUAGUCUUGUAAAAUUUAUGGUUGAAGAAAAGGCUUUUAACGAGGAGAGAAUACGAAAUGGAGCUAAGAAACUAUCGAAAGCACGACACGGUUCUACCCAGGGUAGACUAGAUAGUUUUUUUAAAGUGACAUCCGUUUCGUCAACGAAAAGAAAAGAUCCGGAGCAAAAAGGAAACGAUAAGAAGAAAAUGAAGGGUAGAGGAGGCUUCAAAAGAGCUAAAUAGAGCUUUAGCUGUUUUACCAGUAUAUCCUGUGUAGUUAUUAAGAAAAAGUUUUAUGUUCUUAUCCUUAUGAUUAUCAAUAUUAUUACGUUUAAAAUAUAUUGACAAAGUCUAAAUAUAAAUAUGUAAAGUUAUAUUUUUAAAGGGUUAUGUUUUUUAGUGUUUUUUUCCUACCUUAUUUAUCUAUUUAUACAAG